GGGGCUGUAGCUCAGUGAAAGAGCACUUGCCUUGUAUGCAUGAGGCCCUGGGUUUGAUCCUCAGCACCA
rnacentral:tRNA from 1 species